UGUGUUUAAAGUUCAGUCAACUCAUAUGUUUGUAUAAACAAAACGUUUUUAGUUGAGUUUCGUUGAUAUUUUAUAAAAUAAUGAGUUCAAAAGAUAAAGAAUCGUCUUCCAAGAAGCGAUAUAUCAAAAAUAAUUCAAAUAGUGGAUCUGAUUCAGACGACAACUAUGUUCCUUAUGUACCUGUCAAAGAACGUAAAAAACAAAAAUUAAUGAAAUUAGGACGACUAGGACAACUAAAAGAGGAAGGAUGUGGAUCUGCAGGAAAAAGUAGCAGUGAAAACGAGAGAGAUGAAGCUGACGAAGACGAGGGACAAGUGUGGGGUAGAAAAUCAAACAUUUCACUCUUAGACCAACAUACAGAGUUAAAAAAAUUAGCUGAGGCUAAAAAAGAAAGUGCAUUGGAAAAACAAUUGAAAGAAGAAGAAAAAAUUCUUGAAAGUGUUGCUGAAAAUAAAGCGUUGAUGGGAGUAGCAGAGUUAGCGAAAGGUAUUCAAUAUGAUGAACCAAUAAAAACUUGCUGGCGUCCACCAAGAGCAGUUAUAGCACUUGGUGAAGCAAGACAUGAAAGAAUUAGAAGAAAAUUGAGGAUUUUAGUAGAAGGUGAUAAUGUGCCACCACCAUUAAGAAGUUUUAAAGAAAUGAAAUUGCAUCGCGGAAUACUUCAUGGCUUAGAAAAAAAAGGUAUUGUUAAACCUACACCUAUUCAAGUUCAAGGAAUCCCAACUGUUUUAUCUGGUCGUGAUAUGAUUGGAAUAGCUUUCACUGGCAGUGGUAAAACGCUAGUAUUUGUACUUCCACUAAUAAUGUUUUGUUUGGAGCAAGAAGUUGGAAUGCCAUUUAUUCGCAAUGAAGGUCCAUAUGGUCUAAUUAUUUGUCCAUCUCGAGAAUUAGCUAAACAAACGUAUGAUAUUAUUCAAUAUUACACAAACUGUUUGCGAGAACAUCAUUGUCCAGAAAUAAGAAGUUGUCUCGCUAUUGGAGGUGUUCCAGUAUCUGAAUCACUAGAUAUAAUUAGUAAAGGUGUGCAUAUAAUGGUUGCAACUCCAGGAAGACUUAUGGAUAUGUUAGAUAAAAAAAUGGUGAAAUUGAAUGCAUGUCGUUACCUCUGUAUGGAUGAAGCUGAUCGCAUGAUUGAUAUGGGAUUUGAAGAAGAUGUUCGUACGAUAUUUUCUUUCUUCCGUGGUCAAAGACAAACUCUUCUAUUCUCUGCUACUAUGCCGAGAAAAAUUCAAAACUUUGCUCGAUCAGCUUUAGUUAAACCUGUAACGAUUAAUGUCGGACGUGCUGGUGCAGCUUCUAUGAAUGUUAUUCAAGAAGUUGAAUAUGUCAAGCAAGAAGCUAAAAUAGUUUAUCUAUUAGAGUGUUUACAAAAGACUACUCCUCCAGUAUUAAUUUUUGCUGAGAAAAAACAAGACGUGGAUGCUAUUCAUGAGUAUUUGUUACUCAAAGGUGUUGAAGCAGUUGCUAUUCAUGGUGGUAAAGAUCAAGAAGAACGAUCUAGGUCUGUUGAAGCUUUUCGUGCCGGUCGGAAAGAUGUUUUAGUUGCCACUGAUGUUGCAUCUAAAGGUUUAGAUUUUGCUAAUAUUCAACAUGUUAUUAAUUAUGACAUGCCUGAUGAUGUAGAAAAUUAUGUUCAUCGUAUCGGAAGAACAGGACGAUCGGGAAAAACUGGAAUAGCUACAACAUUCAUUAAUAAAUCAAAUGAUGAAUCUGUUUUAUUAGAUUUGAAACAUUUAUUAAUGGAAGCAAAACAAAGAGUUCCACCAUUCUUAUUAGAACUUUGCUCCGAAAAUGAGAAGUAUCUUAACUUGGGAGAUGAGCGUGGCUGCAGUUAUUGUGGUGGUCUUGGUCAUAGAAUUACUGAAUGUCCUAAAUUGGAGGCCAUACAAAAUAAACAAGCUUCUAAUAUCGGCCGACGUGAUUAUUUGGCAAGCAAUGCUGCUGACUAUUAAAGUCUUUAUGUUAUUGUUAUUGUGGAUAUGGAAAACUAUUUAUUUUAAGAAAGACAAUUGUCAUCAAGUUUUAGUAUCUACUUACCAAUUCUUGCAAGCGAUCAACACUAGCACACAUAAUGUAAACUUCAACAAAAAGUCCCCCAAAGUAUGUAGCUACUAAAGACCUUUCAAAAUAACUUCCUGACAUCUAUCAAAAAUCAUUAGUUACUAAAUA
rnacentral:misc_RNA from 1 species